CAAGUCGAGCGGAGAGAGGUAGCUUGCUACUGAUCUUAGCGGCGGAUGGGUGAGUAAUGCUUAGGAAUCUGCCUAUUAGUGGGGGACAACAUUUCGAAAGGAAUGCUAAUACCGCAUACGUCCUACGGGAGAAAGCAGGGGAUCUUCGGACCUUGCGCUAAUAGAUGAGCCUAAGUCGGAUUAGCUAGUUGGUGGGGUAAAGGCCUACCAAGGCGACGAUCUGUAGCGGGUCUGAGAGGAUGAUCCGCCACACUGGGACUGAGANNCGGCCCAGACUCCUACGGGAGGCAGCAGUGGGGAAUAUUGGACAAUGGGCGCAAGCCUGAUCCAGCCAUGCCGCGUGUGUGAAGAAGGCCUUAUGGUUGUAAAGCACUUUAAGCGAGGAGGAGGCUACUUUAGUUAAUACCUAGAGAUAGUGGACGUUACUCGCAGAAUAAGCACCGGCUAACUCUGUGCCAGCAGC
rnacentral:rRNA from 1 species